GAUUCUUCGGAUGAUUGAUUGGUGACUGAGUGGCGGACGGGUGAGUAACGCGUGGGUAACCUGCCCUGUACAGGGGGAUAACAGUUGGAAACGGCUGCUAAUACCGCAUAAGCGCACGAGAGGACAUCCUUUCGUGUGAAAAACUCCGGUGGUACAGGAUGGGCCCGCGUCUGAUUAGCUGGUUGGCAGGGUAACGGCCUACCAAGGCGACGAUCAGUAGCCGGUCUGAGAGGAUGAACGGCCACAUUGGAACUGAGACACGGUCCAAACUCCUACGGGAGGCAGCAGUGGGGAAUAUUGCACAAUGGGGGAAACCCUGAUGCAGCAACGCCGCGUGAGUGAAGAAGUAUUUCGGUAUGUAAAGCUCUAUCAGCAGGGAAGAUAAUGACGGUACCUGACUAAGAAGCUCCGGCUAAAUACGUGCCAGCAGCCGCGGUAAUACGUAUGGAGCAAGCGUUAUCCGGAUUUACUGGGUGUAAAGGGUGCGUAGGUGGCAGUGCAAGUCAGAUGUGAAAGGCCGGGGCUCAACCCCGGAGCUGCAUUUGAAACUGCAUAGCUAGAGUACAGGAGAGGCAGGCGGAAUUCCUAGUGUAGCGGUGAAAUGCGUAGAUAUUAGGAGGAACACCAGUG
rnacentral:rRNA from 1 species